UUUUAUUAAUCUCAUACACAUAAAUUGAUCUUAUAUGUUGAACUGGCUGAGCUGUACCACUCACCACUCUGUCUUAGGGUAAAAAAAAUAAAUCUACUUAAUGACAAGGUAAAGUUAAGGAGAAGAAUUUACUAAUCAUGUUGGCAUGUCAGAGCUCCCAGUGCUGCUCAAAGUGAUGUUCACUCCAGGGCUUCACAUUUUACAGCUCAACAUUGAAUGACAUUGUUGAAAUCUAAAGGCAGAUGAUUGUGUGGUCUGACCAAAGAGGUUUUUUAUUAUUAUUAUUAAAUGUAACUUGCUGUGAAAAUAGUCAAGAAUGUCUCCCUACAAGCCACCAAGACUUUGGACCACUAAGAGUACAUUCAACAUACUAAUGGAUGCAUUUCGGGCAGAAUACUUUUUCUAUUUUGUACCCAG